AGAGAGAGACAUGCGCGCAUAUCAAUAAGCGGAGGAAAAGAAACUAACUAGGAUUCCCUCAGUAACGGCGAGUGAAGCGGGAAGAGCUCAAAUUUGAAAUCUUCAAGGUUCUACCUUGACGAAUUGUAGUUUAAAGAAGUGUUUUCUGUUGGAGUUUUGGUAAAAGUUCUUUGGAAUAGGACAUCAUAGAGGGUGAGAAUCCCGUAUUUGACCAUUAUUUCCAGCUUUGUGAUACACUUUCAAAGAGUCGGAUUGUUUGGGAAUGCAGUCCAAAAUGGGUGGUAAAUUUCAUCUAAAGCUAAAUAUUGGCGAGAGACCGAUAGCGAACAAGUACCGUGAGGGAAAGAUGAAAAGAACUUUGAAAAGAGAGUUAAACAGUACGUGAAAUUGUCAAAAGGGAAGCGUUUGACACCAGUGUUGUUUAUCUCGAAAAUCAAUUAAAAAAGGCAGGAUUUUGUGUUGUAUUGACUUUAUCAGCUUUCUGCACUCUUUUCUUGUCUUUUUUAAUGCACUUUUCGUUUAACAAGUCAACAUCAAUUUCUUUUGUUGUAAAAGGGUCAUUGGAAGGUGGCUUUCUUUUCGGAGAAAGUGUUUAUAGCCUUUGGCCUCUGCAAUCGGAGAGAUUGAGGUCUGCAGCGUAGAUCCUUCGGGGUUAGAUACAUUUGUGCUAAGUUAUAGCCUUUCAUAGACAACUUGUUGACUAUGAUCAGUCAUGUAGCUUACUCGCUUAUGCUAUUUUACCUACGCUUAGGAUGUUGAUGUGAUACUGCGAGCA
rnacentral:rRNA from 1 species